UACGUAGGGGGCUAGCGUUGUCCGGAAUCAUUGGGCGUAAAGCGCGCGUAGGCGGCCAGAUAAGUCCGGUGUGAAAGUCACAGGCUCAACCUGUGAAUGCCGCUGGAAACUGUCUGGCUAGAGUCCGGAAGGGGCGAGUGGAAUUCCUGGUGUAGCGGUGAAAUGCGCAGAUAUCAGGAGGAACACCUAUGGCGAAGGCAGCUCGCUGGGACGGUACUGACGCUGAGGCGCGAAAGCGUGGGGAGCGAACAGG
rnacentral:rRNA from 1 species